GACAGUGAGAUCAGCGAUCGCAAGAACGCUUGCUAUGCUGACAUCGACAGUGGGCUGUGGGGCGAGCGCUGCAGAUCUUCGAUGAUCGCCAAGGAGAGCUGCGCCUUAAAAUGCGUUUCCCCCCUCUGUUACGAGCUCAUUUACGAGAGCGACCCGCUGGAAGAAGGAGAGAGAGACUAUAGGGCUGUGGAGUUCAAGUACUGCAUGCAGAAAGUCCGGAUGGAUGCACGGUAGCAUGCGCUGCAGGGGAUGAGACACUUUUGGACUUUGGAAUGUCUUUGGAAGUGCGAAAGAGCCAAAACCUACUGCCAAAACAGCAAAAUACGGGUCCUUUGGUUACUUUUAAUUAGAUUUAUUAGGUGAAGGAUUGGAUGGGUUGGAGGUUUAGAAAAGGAGUGUGAAGAGAGGUGAUUAAUCUCAUCAGUGACUCGGGUGUGGAGAUGGAGAAAAGUACUAGGUUAAGCGAUUUUUAUCAUUUCUUUCUUCGAACAUUUGGACGCUGGUCAUGUAUGCUCAAAACUAUGAACUCAGAGUAGUCAUCUUGUUGGAAAAUACUGUCUAGUAUUGUUUCUAAUGUGAUUCUUCCUACAGAUCAGCAUGAA